GAAAACCAAACACUGCAUGUUCUCACUCAUAGGAUAGCAGAAGCAGCCCACUUCUCCAAGCCUCAGGAGAUUUUACAAUGACAUAUCCUCGUGAAUGCCUCUCAAGGACACUCCAUAAGCAAUGAAGUUUUGAGAGGGUACCUACAUCUUUAAAAAGCUUGAUUGCUGGUGGCUGUGCUCUGCAAACUGUGGUUGAUGGUAGGAGUUGAUGCUGUUGAAUUAGGCCCAGCUGAUACAACACUCAAUCAUCA